rnacentral:rRNA from 1 species
AUUGAACGCUGGCGGCAGGCCUAACACAUGCAAGUCGAACGAGUGGCGGACGGGUGAGUAAUGUCUGGGAAACUGCCUGAUGGAGGGGGAUAACUAGUGGAAACGGUCGCUAAUAACGCCUACCAUCAGAUGUGCCCAGAUGGGAUUAGCUUGUUGGUGGGGUAACGGCUCACAAAGGCGACGAUCCCUAGCUGGUCUGAGAGGAUGACCGGCCACACGGGAACUGAGACACGGUCCAGACUCCUACGGGAGGAAGCAGUGGGGAAUAUUGCGCAAUGGGCGCAAGCCUGAUGCAGCAAUGCCGCGUGUAUGAAGAAGGCCUUCGGGUUGUAAAGUCCUUUUAGCGGGGAGGCGUUACCCGCAGAAGAAGCACCGGCUAACUCCGUGCCAGCAGCCGCGGUAAUAC